rnacentral:tRNA from 1 species
CGCCCGUCCGCGCCGGGACGUGCGAGGAGGGCGCCGCCUGACGGGCGGCGCCCUCCUCGCGUCGUCGUGCUCCUUCCGUGCGGGUCGCUGACGGGCGG